UGGUGGAGUGAUUUGUCUGGUUAAUUCCGUUAACGAACGAGACCUCGACCUACUAAAUAGUUCGGUGUGAUCCUUUCUGGAUACGCUUUUUUACGGACUUCUUAGAGGGACUAUCGGUGCCUAUCCGAUGGAGGUUCGAGGCAAUAACA
rnacentral:rRNA from 1 species